GUCCAGUUUUCCCAGGAAUCCCUUGACCUAUCAGAAAGGGGGAUUCCUGGAAAUACUGUUCUU
ensembl:miRNA MIR145 microRNA 145